CAACUAUUUUGGUUUCUACUCUGAUUGCAGGAGCCUCGUUUGCAGACGUUUUUUUCUCUCCACAACCUCAUAGACCGAACAACUAUGGCGAUGAAGAUGCCGAAAUCGGUUCUUAUGCCGAGAGAUAUGAAACCAAAUCACACGGCGUUUGCGAUUUUUGUCUGUCCGAAAAACUAUUCCUUCGUAUCAUUGUGGG